CCUACGGGGGACAGCAGUCGAGAAUCAUUCACAAUGGAGGAAACUCUGAUGCUGCGACGCCGCGUGGGGGAAUGAAGGUCUUCGGAUUGUAAACCCCUGUCAUGUGGGAGCAAAUUAAAAAGAUAGUACCACAAGAGGAGGAGACUGCUAACUCUGUGCCAGCAGCCGCGGUAAUACAGAGGUCUCAAGCGUUGUUCGGAAUCACUGGGCGUAAGGGGUGCGUAGGCUGUUUCGUAAGUCGGGUGUGAAAGGCGCGGGCUCAACCCGCGGACGGCACAUGAUACUGCGAGACUAGAGGUAUGGAGGGGGAAGCGGAAUGCACGGUGUAGCAGUGAAAUGCGUAGAGAUCGAGAGGAACACUCGUGGCGAAGGCGGGUUCCUGGACAUUAACUGACGCUGAGGCACGAAGGCCAGGGGAGCGAAAGGGAUUAGAUACCCUUGUAGUC
rnacentral:rRNA from 1 species